AUGCCUAUGUUGAUUUUUUCAUCCUACUACAUCUAAUAGAAAUUAUUAAAAUAGGACUCAUAAUCCUUUGGUCGCAGGUUCGAGCCCUGCUGGGCCUACCA
rnacentral:tRNA from 1 species